CAGCAGCCACGGUAAUACGGAGGGUGCAAGCGUUAACCGGAAUUACUGGGCGUAAAGCGCACGCAGGCGGUCUGACAAGUCAGAUGUGAAAUCCCCGGGCUUAACCUGGGAAUUGCAUUUCAGACUGGGAGUCUAGAGUACCUUAGGGAGGGGUAGAAUUCCACGUGUAGCGGUGAAAUGCGUAGAGAUGUGGAGGAAUACCGAAGGCGAAGGCAGCCCCUUGGGAAUGUACUGACGCUCAUGUGCGAAAGCGUGGGGAGCAAACAGGAUUAGAUACCCCAGUAGUCCCUGUCUCUUAUAC
rnacentral:rRNA from 1 species